CCCCUCGUCCCUAUUGAGCACACAUGAAGGACCCUUGUCACCAUUCGAGGAGAAACUGCAAUCCCAGCUCAUCCAGCGCAGUAUGCGGAACUCUCACAUUCUGGAGGUCAAGACAAAGGGGCGGCCACGCACACUGAUGCAAAUCAGUUCACCUAGAGUGUCCAGUGGGACUGCUAGCCAAACCACCCUGAGACGCCGGAGUUCUGAGCUGUUGGCCGUUCGGACAAAAGUGAGUGAAGAUGGUAGGAAAGGAAGAUCAGGAGAAGUUGAUUGAUUGAGGAGCUGAAAAGAACAUCAGGAUGCUUUCGGGUGGAAUUCUCAGUGACUCAAAGCCUGGGGAUACAGUCAGUCCUGAUGAUUCCAAGCAACAAGCUGAGGAUCAUGAAAAGGAUGUUGGGGCCAAACAUCAAGAUUGCCUCUGAAAAGAAGAUGAGAGCAGAGGCUGCUUCGCUCGCAGGGGUUGACAACCUACGCUCUCAACUAGUGCCUUUCACAUUCCCGCUGAAGGAUGGCAGGCACACUGUGGAGAUAAAGAAUGUACGGAGAUAAAGAAUGUACCGAUGUGCUUUACUCCAAGUCUGUGGAAGAAGAUAGACGACAUGCUCAACUUUAAUGAUGAUUCUGCGAGAAGGUUCAAAUAAAGGAUUCAAUUUCCAUUUAGAGUGCACCGACUAACAUGGCACGAAGGGAGGAUUCCAGAUGACAAGAUUUGGGUUAAGCUCGGGGGAGACAAAGGAGGAGGAAGUUUCAAAAUGACCUUCCAGAUUUGCAAUGUAGAUCAUCCCAAUUCCACGGAAAACACAUGUGCUCUUCGAGGCUCCGGAUAAUGCUACCAACCUCAAGAUUGGGCUUGAGAGAUUCCAGGAUGAGGUGGACAGCCUUCCCAGCAAGACGUGGAGGUACUACAUGUGUAGGAUUAAAAACAACAAUCAUAACUUUCAUUACGUGUAUGUGUAUAAGAGGAAAGACAGUUCGAGUUUUCCUCAGCGGUGACUAUGAGUUCCUGUGUCACAUGUAUGGGCAUGUAUGGGCUGUCAGGUGCAUCAGGUCGGCAUUGUUGUUUGUGGUGUUUAAUCACAUCAGAAGAACUGAAGAGCCCACCCACUAAUGCCCACCAGAGCAGAACCACUGACAGCAUCCUCGGAGAUCACCAGAGUUUUAUUGCAGCGGGAGGGAAGCUGAAUAAAGCAAAGUUGUUUAAUAACUGUGUAAGGAAACCCUUCUUCAAGUCCAUUCCCUUGAAUCAAGUGUGCCCUCCAGGACUACACAUUACUUUAGGGAUAUUUUAUCGCCUCUUCCAAUUGAUGGAAGACGACUGUCAUGAGCUUGACGUGGCAAUCAGAGAGGAGGAGGAUAGUCGCGAGAAGGGUGGCCCAUACUACAUGAGAUGAGCUAGACAGAGCAAACGAAGAAGUCACUCAACUGAAUGACCUGGUGGCUAUUCUUCUUGUCUUCCGUGAGGGGGAAGACCCUGAGUUGCAAGACCUCCGCUCUGAGCUUGAAGGGAAGGCCGUGCAAGCACACAAACUGGAUAUUGAGUUAGUGGAAAAGGGGUUCAAAAAGGAGGAUGGACCUUUUGUUAGAGCCCUAGAUCAAGCUUUAGACGGUUUUAACGUCAGAAGACAGGCGUACUACAGUGGAAAUCACAUCCAUCAAACACUUCGGCCCAAGCACACGAGGGAGCUGUGUGACGCACUAGUGCUGGCAGCAGCAAACUAUCGUCCUGCGAUCGUCCAAAGAGCUGAAAAACUGCAGAGAAAGUAUAGUGUUGUGUUCACGCUUUAUUAUAACUGCUACACACUGU